GUGUGUAUAGCUCAGUGGUAGAGCGUGUGCUUAGUAAGCACAAGGUCCUGCGUUCAAUCCCUAGUACCUCCA
rnacentral:tRNA from 1 species